CAGCAGCCGCGGUAAUACGAAGGGGGCUAGCGUUGCUCGGAAUGACUGGGCGUAAAGGGCGCGUAGGCGGCGGCCAAAGUCAGGCGUGAAAUUCCCGGGCUCAACCUGGGAACUGCAUCUUAUACUGCGUAGCUGGAGUGCAGUAGAGGGUAGUGGAAUUUCCGGUGUAGCGGUGAAAUGCGUAGAUAUCGGAAGGAACACCAGUGGCGAAGGCGGCUACCUGGACUGACACUGACACUGAGGCGCGAAAGCGUGGGGAGCAAACAGGAUUAGAUACCCCUGUAGUCCCUGUCUCUUAUAC
rnacentral:rRNA from 1 species